GACGAACGCUGGCGGCGUGCUUAACACAUGCAAGUCGAACGGAAAGGCCCCUUUGGGGGUACUCGAGUGGCGAACGGGUGAGUAACACGUGAGUAACCUGCCCUUGACUUCGGGAUAACUUCAGGAAACUGGGGCUAAUACCGGAUAGGAAUCCUUGCUGCAUGGUGGGGGUUGGAAAGCUUCGGCGGUUUUGGAUGGACUCGCGGCUUAUCAGCUUGUUGGUGGGGUAGUGGCUUACCAAGGCUUUGACGGGUAGCCGGCCUGAGAGGGCGACCGGCCACAUUGGGACUGAGAUACGGCCCAGACUCCUACGGAGGCAGCAGUGGGGAAUAUUGCACAAUGGGCGGAAGCCUGAUGCAGCAACGCCGCGUGCGGGAUGACGGCCUUCGGGUUGUAAACCGCUUUCAGCAGGGGCGAAGCUUGUGGUGACGGUACCUGCAGAAGAAGCACCGGCUAACUACGUG
rnacentral:rRNA from 1 species